rnacentral:rRNA from 1 species
GACGAACGCUGGCGGCGUGCUUAACACAUGCAAGUCGAACGGAAAGGCCCCUUUGGGGGUACUCGAGUGGCGAACGGGUGAGUAACACGUGAGUAACCUGCCCUUGACUUCGGGAUAACUUCAGGAAACUGGGGCUAAUACCGGAUAGGAAUCCUUGCUGCAUGGUGGGGGUUGGAAAGCUUCGGCGGUUUUGGAUGGACUCGCGGCUUAUCAGCUUGUUGGUGGGGUAGUGGCUUACCAAGUCUUUGACGGGUAGCCGGCCUGAGAGGGCGACCGGCCACAUUGGGACUGAGAUACGGCCCAGACUCCUACGGGAGGCAGCAGUGGGGAAUAUUGCACAAUGGGCGGAAGCCUGAUGCAGCAACGCCGCGUGCGGGAUGACGGCCUUCGGGUUGUAAACCGCUUUCAGCAGGGGCGAAGCUUGUGGUGACGGUACCUGCAGAAGAAGCACCGGCUAACUACGUG